AUCGACAGCUGACUAAAGAUACACUUGUGUAUCCAUAAUGAAGGGGGGAUGGGAUCCUACUUAGGAAUUCCAGAGGAUAUUAGUGGAUCCAAGUGUAGGCUAUUUGUGUUCUUGAAAGAAAAACUACUACACAGAGUGAAUGGAUGGACGGGUAGAUAUGGCUAUCAAAAGGUGGAAAAGAAGUUCUAAUAAAAUCUAUCCUGUUAGCUCUUCCGACAUAUGUCAUGUCCAGUUUCCUACUCCCUUUGGAGAUAUGUGAAAACCUUGCGAAUGCCAUCGCACAAUUCUGGUGGAGUUCAAAUUCACCAAAGCAUGGGAUCCACUGGGCUAAAUGGGAGAAGAUGUGUGCCCCUAGAGAGGAGGGAGGUAUUGGUUUUCGCAUGAUCCACGAAUUUAACCUUGCCCUUCUGGCGAAACAGCUUUGGCGUCUUGUACUAUUCCCAGAUUCACUAGUGGCGAGAGUUCUUCGGGGAAGAUACUAUCGAUUGAGUUUGCCUUUGCGAAUCGGUGCAGUGGAUAGUCCAUCGUAUGUGUGGAUGAGUUUCAUACCGGCAAGAAAACUUUUACUCUUGGGCAUCAUGAGUAAAGUGCACCCAAAUUAAUGUUUGGCAAGAUCCAUGGAUUCAUUCGAUUCCAGCAAGACCGGCGCGCCCCAGAGCCCCAUUAUUUAAUCCAAAGAUGUUAGUCAGUAAUCUUAUCGAUUUUGAAUCAAAGGAGUGGGAUACUCGGAUACUAGAUCAAUAUGUAGAACGAGAGGAUAUAUCUAUUAUUUAGAGUCUGGCCAUAAGCCCUACUCAUCGACGCGAUACUUUUUGUUGGAGCUACACCAAAAAUGGACAAUAUACUGUAAAAUCAGGAUAUUGGGUAGCUACAAAUAUUCUGAGAGAUGUGGAGGAAAAAGAAGUUGUUGAGCCCAACAUAAGCAAACUUCAAGCCUUUUCUUGGAAAGUCAAUGCACCACAAAUGAUUUGUCAUCUUAUAUGACAGUUUAUUGCUGGGCAGGUAGCUGUCACAAGGAAUCUGGUAUGUCGCAAUAUGCGAUGUGAUAACUACUACCCAAGAUGUGGAGAGCCGGAAGAGACGGCUACUCAUGCGAUCUUUGAAUGCCCACCGGCAAUACAAGCAUGGGAACUGUCAUCAACACCGUCUAGCUCUCAGACUUUCCCUACUGAGAGUAUCUACACUAACAUGGAUUAUCUCUUUUGGAGGAAGAAUAGUAUUAUGGAAGCACAAAAUUAUAGAGACCCAUAUCCUUGGAUAAUUUGGUACAUAUGGAAAGCAAGGAACGAUAAGCUGUUCAGAGGUAUAGAUAGGGACCCCUUGGAGUUAGUCAGAUACGCAGAGAGUGAGUGUCAUGCAUAGUAUAGUGCAAAGGAAUCUAUACCUGCUCCUCCACAGACACAAAUGGUUGAAGAAACACAUGCCUUAAGCUUGGAAACAUCUGUAUGGUUGAUGGUUCAUGGACCUCUACAGAUCAAUUCAGUGGACUUGGAUGGGUAUGGAAGGAUGACAGAGGGAAGAUGCAACUAAUGGGAACAAGGAACUUAAGGAGGCGCGAAACGUCACUCCACUCUGAACUGGAAGCAUUAAGAUGGGCAAUGUAGAGCAUGCUACAGCACUCGACAUGUCAGAAAUUUGGAACGGAUUGCAAGGACCUGAUUGCAAUAAUGAAUGAUCCACAAGCAUGGCCAAACUUCUCAGCUGAGCUGGAGGCCAUUCAAAUUCUCAAGAUGCAUUUUCCGAACUUCAAAAUUCAAUACUUCCCAAGGGUGCAAAAUGGAAUUGCUGACUUGUUACCCGUUCUUUUCAUAGAUCGUUGUGUUUUGUUGGUAUUUAUAUUCCGGUCUGGUUAUCCAAACCACUUCAAAUUUGAGUAAUAGAAUAGCCGUUUGUUGCCAAAAAAGAAAAAAAAAACAGAAAACGUAUGCGCACCCGAACGCUCACGGCAAUGAUGUCUUUUGACAAUUUCCCGUUUCACAAAGAAAAAGAAAAAAAAAAGAAAUUUGAAAAAUCAUUUAGUUCCAUAACAUCAGUAAAAGAGUUUAGCGAAACAAUACACCCGAGACUCCACGUAUCCAACAACGUUCAAUGUUAUUGACAAUACCUUUUUUUAAUAUAUAAUUUUAUUUAUUUCAUCCUAAAACAUACAAUACAAAAUUAUACAACCAAAUCAUACAUGGAAAUCAGUGCCGUACCGUGCCGUGCCGUGCGUGCCUUAUAGGAAAAGAAAUUUUCGCUUAGGGCAUCAUUUUUUCAUAAUGCAUCGAAUAAAGUCUUUAGUUGUGUUAUUGGCCACGGUUAAGUAUUCAUACUAUUCAUUUUUAUAUGCUGGUGUAUUUAAAUAAACUAGGGCAUUGCCUCCAAGCUCUUGGCGCGGAGUUGUGGAUAUAGUUCUUGAUUCGUCUUAAUAUUUGUUAGAGUUAUUGUAGUUCUGAAUUUUGCGUUUUGGGUUGAUCAUUAUUUUUUAAGUAUUUUAUUGUUAUAGGGUUAGAGUUGUGAUGAUGAACUGUGUAUGCAAUGUUCUUCACUCAUGAAAGACUAAACUGUGUUAAUAAUGUGAUUGAUAUAGUUUGUGGUGUUGGAGACUUAUUGUUUGUUUGUUUUUAAUUUGUUACUUGUACUGUUGAGAUUACAUAAAUUAUAUUAACGUUAUCGAGAGUACUUUUGUUUCUGAAUAUUUUUUCUCCAGUCUAGUUGUGUAAGUUGUGUAUAUUAAGUAAUAUUAUUUUAUUCUUAUUAUGUUGAUUAUAUGCUUUUUUUAAUUUUAAACUUGUUUCUUUUAUCGGACCUUUAAAACAAAUACAUGAAGACUUGUAGAAAUAACUAUAAAAUGAGUGACAAUUAGUAUUUGGGCCAUAAUGGCUUUUAAACGAAUAUAUGUAUUUUUCAUAAGAAGACAAUAGCUUUGGUCUGUUGACAUUGAGCAUGUAAGCUAUUUUCAUAAGAUAAGAGGAGUGAGCAAGUGGAGAUGUUCUUGCCUCCUUUGUGUCUGUUGGGAUUGUGUCUUGUAUCUCCUGGUGUGACUGUGUUUGUUUCUCUUUUGUUUGAUGGGUAAUAUGUAAACAAAAAUCAUUGUUAUUUGUAUUUAUCAGAGUUUGUAACUUAAUCUGCUUUUUUGUUUAAGUAAUUUUACUGAUCUUGGUAGUUUGUAAAUUGUUAAAUAGCUGGCCGUGUAGUUUGUAUUUGUUUAGUUGGCUCAAUUUAUGUGUCAUUGAGUUUUUGUUGAGUUUGAUUGGUUUGGUAUACUUAUUUUGAAGUUUAUUUGUAAGACUAGACAAAAAGAGAGGUGAUCAUUAAUGAUGCAUCUUUUUUGAGAUUCUAGUUUUUGGUGUUUUGAUUGUUUGGGUUAUUGUGAUUUCUUUUAAGCUGUAAAAUAAAGAUUUAUGUAAAAUUAGAUUGAUAAGUAAGGGAGAUAAAUAGACGACCACAAAUCUUGGGUAUGAAAUAUUUUUUAUUAUUGAUGUUAGCACAAUAUAGACAAUAAUAUAAAGGAAAUUAUGUGUUUAUUUUUUCUUACGGAUCAAUGAAGAGACGAAUAACGACUCGAGUUGUUUCUUUGGUGAGGUUAGUGCCCUGGACAUAACAUAUUUGCCCAACCACAUCUGCGAGUUUAAAUAUCAGUUAUGAUAUCAAAACAUAAUAUAAACCCAGAUGCAACAUGAUAAUAUACCUGGGAGUUCUAGGUUUUUGUUCGCAAUCACUUGGAGAUUGUCGAACAGUCGAAUCUUGACUGGAGAUAGAUCUCCGGAGCACCUGUGAUGACUUCAACAAUAAUGGUUAGUGAGAUAAAACAAAUUAGGAAUGGAUGAUCAGUUAUCUUGUACAUGCUUGAGCACCUAGCAACCUCAAAACGAUCGACUUUCACAAUGGAACCUGCUUUCAAAAGAUGACAUGUAAGGAUUAGCACGUGCGACGGGAGUAAACCCAUGAAUCACGGAAUCUGUAAAUAAUAUUAUUCAACAAAGAGUCAGGAAAUCAAUUAAAACAGAUAUGUUAAAUAAGUGUGAUAGAUCGAAGAUUAACUUACGUUUUCAUCAAGGAAGAGAACCGUGAUUCCGACAAACUCCCUGUCUUUCUUGAAGUUCAUGGAAUCCCAGAAGCGAGGAAGCCAGAGGCUAUGCUCUGACUACUACGACCAAGACGGAGAUACUCGAAGGUUGCGUGACGGACGCCGGAACGCCGGUUUGACGAACUGGAGAGGCAGAGAGAAACAUUUUCUAGAAGAUGGUUAAAUCUAAGAGGAAUCAAUGAGUUUUGUGCAUAUGCAGAUUGGAUCAUCAAAGAUGAGAAUCAUAUAUAUGGGGUUUACAGAGGGGCUACAAAUCAGGAACAUUUAUGAUCAAAUGAUUUAAGAUGUGGACAUGAAGAGCUCACCGGUGAAAGAAUAUAUUACGAACAGAUAAAGGCACAACUUUGUAACUCAGACUUGUUUGAGACAAUGUUGAAAAGAACUUAAACUCAUGUUAAACGACAACAGUUUACAAUAUGGGAAAACUAGAUUAUGGGGGAGAAAAUUUUAAUUUUUCUCGGUUUAUUUAAUUAUGGGGGAGUGAGAGAUAAAACAAUGUUCCUGGUUUUUGUGGUUUUGGUUUUAUGUUUAUCUCUAACUCUUGAACUUUCAUAUUUUGAACCUUCAUUUCAGUUUAAUGCACAUAUUAUUCAGGAUAUAUGUGUUCGAAUGUGUGUGGUUGUUUGAGUGGAUCUGUGCAGGUACUUGAGAGGCAUCCAAACUAAAAGGGGGAGAUUGUAGAUGCAAAGAUCAGAUAGAUGUUCUGAUACAGACGCAAGUACAUCAGUGAAUAGAGCAGAGUCUGUAACAGAGAAGUGUACGUGCGGAUGAACAAGUCAAGAUGAAGAUUGCGACUUGAAGAAUGGAAUGCGGACCAAGGCGAAGUUAAUACGAAGACAUCUUGGGGAGCAAGCUUAAAGAGAUUCACCUUGGAGAAGGGAGAUCUCACGAUGGGAAGUUUCUUAAAGACUUUGGACAGGUUUUAGGGUUGCCUUAUUUGGGUAGAUAGUGAAUAUUGGAUAGAUAGGCGUGGAUAGCCGACUUGGCUGUAUUGUAUAUAUAGUCAUACUCGACAUGUGGAUUAGGGAGAAUUGUAUUCUUAGCAUAAGAGUGGAGUUCACUAAGCUUGUAAGCGAGUGAAUAACACUAAGGGCUAAGGGGUAGAGGUUCUAGAGAUCUUGUAUUCAAUCUUAGGACGUGUGAGGCUAGGGGAGCAAGUCAAGAAGGGUCUUGAUCUUGUUCGGGUUCUGUUUAAAGAGAGACUUGUAAGUUCACUUUAAAAGAAUACUAGUAAUAACACAUAUCUUUGUAAAGAUAUUUUCUGGUGUACUCUCUGCUUUACUUUGUGGGUUAGUUCUUGCAUUUACAUUGGCCACCUCUAGUAAUAACUCAUACGGUUAAACUAUUAUAUACUUUUGUUUUAAAUCUAUUUGUUUUAACUGAGACAAAUAAUAAAUAAUUAAAAAUAAUAAUGCUUUACAUAAUUAGAAGUUUACAAGUUACUUUAUUCAUAUUUCGGUGGUUAUCACUUCUGAGUGUAAUAUUAUUCUUUCUCAAUAUUUAUCUCAAAUUUGUGUUUAGUCUAUAAAUAUUUUAAGUUUGUAUAGUAAUGCUUUUAUCUUCGUUUGAAAAUCAAUUAAAAAUAUUGAGUUACUUAAUUAUUUUAUCUAUGCAAAAUAAUAACAAUGGAAAUUUUAAAAUAUUUUUUUCUUAUUUUCAAAUUUGUUUAUACUUUUUCCUAGCAUAAAUAGAAAUUUGUUAUAGUUUAGAACUAUUUUUUUGCUUAUUUAAUUAUUAGUUGUUUGUAAUGUAAUGAUGCUGUUUUUUUGUCAAUAAUAAUAUUAUUUAAUAAUUUUGAUGUAUUUUUGAAAAAUGAUUUUAUUUUUUUAUUUUUUGUUUCGGGCAGCUAUAAAAGCUCGCACGACUCUGAUGGAAAUGAAUAAACCCCAUACAACUAUCAUAAGCAGAUUUGAAAUUCGGAUUACGCAAACAAAUUACUAUGAAGCGCUUGAAAGGAAGGAUAGGUAAAGUGAAGAAGAUCCUAGCCUGAGGAACUCCUUUACCAGAGCAAACCUUCUUCACAAGAAAGAUUGGUUGAAAUGGAAAUAAUUUGCCUUUUGGACUCAGUACCUGCAUGUAAUGAGGAGGAACCAUCCUGUUCAGAUUGAUCAAACAAUCCAAGUAUUGGGACCGUCGCAGAGAGAGAGAGAGAGAGGAAGAAACACUUCAAAGACCCUUGCACCUAGCACAUUCUGGCGCUUUAUAAAAACUAGAGAGAAUUUUUACAAUCGCCCAAAAAAAACCACAAAUUACAAAACAGAUUGCAGACACGGAGAACACACAAAGAAGACACAUGAAUGCACUGUGCAGAUCAGUUAAUGAACUCACUAGAAGAUAACACCGAAGAAUUGAAAAGUGUGACAACCCAUCCCGCUCACUCGGAACCCAGCUCACAGCCUUGCAUGGCACCGACCCUAACCACUCAUCAUGGGAGGAAACGCAUCCACAUCCACCGGAAGGUUAUUUGUGCGCUUGGCGUUACUCGAUCCCAAGACUUCACCCUUUAACAACACUCCUCUAGGAUGAGUUGUCACCAAUUGAUCUGCAGAUCAAUUGGUGAAAACUCAUCCUAGAGGAGUGUUGUUAAGCGAUUUUUGGUGAAAACUCAUCCUAGAGGAGUGUUGUUAAGCGAUUUUUUUUUGUGACAACCCGUCCCGCUCACUCAAAACCCAGCUCACAGCCCUGCAGGGCACCGAACUUAACCCCUCACCGUGGGAAAAAAUGCCUCCACAUCCAACGGUAGGUUAUUGGUGCGCUUGGCGUUACUUGUGAGUGAGGCCAAAUCACGGGGAAAUUCAAGCAUGAUUGGGCUGGAGUAGUGAAAGUAUCACACCCAUAUCUUGCUUAACCGAGACGGCAUGAAUUCACAUUGCCUUCAUCAACAAGAAACACUCAAAAGGCCAAUGCAAAUCUCAUUCCCAAGGAUCGAAUCCAAAUGUCUUACAAAAUCGUACUAAAACGAAUAGGAAACGCUUAAAACCAAAUCACCAAGUCUUAAAAUGAAAUAACUUAAAUAAAACCAAACAACCCGAAAACCAGCAUCACACCGAGAUGACCACUCCUGCACUUCCUCGAACUCACCUGAAAAAGAAAGGAGGGCUGAGUAUUUCGACAAAUACUCAGUGAGGGAAGCUCUAGGAGCCCCGAAAUCAAUCACCAACAAUCAUCACACAACAUAGCUUAAGCAUCUAACUUAAACAUUCAGUAAAUCGAAAGCAAUCAACAAGAAACGAGGAUAAACCCCGACGGUGCCAACAUGAGACUAACGCCACAUCACGCUGUCUCCACGCCUCUCAUGUUGUCGUGUGAGAACUUGCCACAUCACACUGUCUCCGUGAGUUCCACACCUUCACGCGAUCACGCCACAUCACGCUGUCUCCACGUGAUCCGGGCCACCACAUUCACACGGUCACGCCACAUCACGCUGUCUCCACGUGAUCCGUGUUACUACAUCUUUACUUCACAUACAGGCACGGCGCAUGUCCGCUCUGGCGAUGAAUCAUGCCAACUCAAACGAUUGCCACAUGACCCAACAAGAAACGAUGUAACGCCCGAGACAUACAUAUAUGUCAUUCCACCACGUUACACCGGCACACAUAGGCCUUACGCCUUUCUCUAACUCGUUUACAUCUCCCAAUUAUAUAGAUAUCAUACUCUUAUACAAUAACCCCAAUCAAUACAAUCAUCACAUUCAAUCCUCAAACAUCAUUCAACCAUAUUUUAACAACCUUAGCAAUAGAUCUAUGUUUUUCACACAUCAAGCAUCAAGAUAUUUAUAUUUAUCAUAUGUAUAUUUAUUUAUAUUAGUAGAUCUAUAGAAAGUAACAAGUAUGGAUGAAUGAUCAACCUAGACAUUUCUACCAUGAUGAGAUAAUGAUAGAAGGAGACAGAGAUUGCAACAAGCCCUCACCUUAGCCUAGAUCUGCGAGAUGAGAGAGUUGAUGUAGAUCUGAGUUCUACGGGUCCUUACUAACCAGAUCUACAAGAACAAGGGUUGGUUUCCACCCAAACCCUAGAUCAUAGAUCAAGAAGAAGAAAGAGAUAGGAGAGAUCUAAAAGAGAGUGUUUAGGGUUUCUUUACCCUCACUAGUUGCUGGAUCUAGAAGAAAAAGAGUAGAAGACUCAAGGAAACGACGAGAAGGAAUCGAAACACGGCGAGAUCUCCUCUUCGGUGAGAUUACACGGUCGCCGGCAGUGCUACGGUGACUCGCGGUGGCUCUGGUGGUGGUUUGGUAGCCGGCGGCUGCUCUCUCUCCAACUGGGCAGGGCUUUGCUAGGUUUUGAGUCUCUGGAGAAAAUCUUAGGGGCUGCCUCCUUUUUAUAGAAGAAGAAGGGAAAAACCCUAGGGUUUUCUCUACAUGGGCCAAAUCAUCACGGGCAUUGUCACUAAAAAUUGGGCUCGGGCCCGGGAUGUGACAGAAAGGAUAGGUGACCUAUCGGGAAGUGAUUUGCGAAACCAUGUGAGUGAGGCCAAAGCACGGAAAAAUUCAGGUGGUGAUUCCAGGGUCAGUAAACAAUGAUUUCGAGGCUUUGAAAAAAAUUACAAACUGACUAUUGAAACGGGACGGGGUCCACGGGCCAAGUGAGCAGGCGUGGGUGACCCAUUAGCCAUGGGUGGUCGGGGAAUUACAAGUGGUAUCAGAGCUGGUUAGCCAUCUCGGUUCUGACCUGAGAGGCGUCUUGAGACCUGUCGUGGGACGCAACGAGGACGUUGCAUAAUUGUAACAUCCCUAGUUGUGAUAUAUGGAAAGGCUUAAGAGAAUUGAUUUGGCUACCCAUGUUACCAGAGGUGACUUACCUUUUCCGUAACACAUCCGUUUAGAACUCCUGGGUUAAACAUACUUGGGCUGGAGUAGUGAAAUGAUGGGUGACCUAUCGGGAAGUGAUUCGCGGUACCGUGUGAGUGAGACCAAAGUACAUUGAAAGGUCAGGUGAUUGCAAGGUCAGUAAACAAUGAUUUUGAGCCUUUUAAAAAAAAUUAUGAACCAACUGUUGGAACGAGAUGGGGCCCACAUGCCGAGAGAGCGGGCGUGGAUGACCCAUUAACCAUGGGGUCGGGGUGCUAUAAGCAUAUAACUCCCGAGUAAGCCGGAUUCCGAGUGAGCGGGAUGGGCUGUCACAUAAAAAGUCGACUUUUAAUGUGACAACCCGUCCCACUCAGUAGGAUCCCAAGCUCACAGCCCUGCAGGGCACCGACCCUAACUCCUCACCGUGGGAGGAAACACCUCUACAUCCACCGGUAGGUUAUUGAUAUGAUCAAUUGGAGAUAUCUCGUCAUGUGGGAGUUUUGUUAAAUGGUGAGGUCUUGAGUUCGAGGAAUGUCGAGCGCACCAACAACCUAAUUAUGGAGUGAGAGAGAACUCAUAAUGGAGGGGUUAAGGUUGGUGUCCUGUCAGGCUGUGAGCCUGGGGUCCUAGUGAGUGGACGGGUUGUCACAAAAAGUUGACUUUUUAUCUGACAACCCGUCCCGCUGACUCGGAACCCGGCUCACAGCCUUGCUGGGCACCGAUCCUAACCCCUCACCGUGGGAGGAAACACCUCCACAUCCACCGGUAGGUUAUUUGUUCGUUUGGCGUUACUCGAACCCAAGACCUCAUCUUUUAACAACACUCCUACAUGAUGAGUUGUCACCAAUCUUUUAACAUUUCAGGAGUGCACAAAAUUUUCAUAGAAGUCUAGUUUAUGUUGGUUAUUUUAUUUCGGUUUGGAUUCUCAGUCCACAUCGAUUUGAAUAAUAGAAUAACAUUUUGAUGUUAUAAUGACUAAAACAAUUAAAUAAACAAUUAUGUUUAGCUUUCCUAAAAAUGUAUUCCGAACCUGAAUCCUUUUUCCUCCAAAAUGUCAUUUAAGUUUGGCAAAAUCUGAUAUAUUAUCAACUAUAUAAUUAUUAUCAUUGUCAGGAUCCUUAUGACCGAGUUAAAGAGACAAAUUGGCACGCCAACACAUUUUAGAUUCGAUCCACUUACUGCGGCGAAACUAGAUCACGUUAUCAUGGGGAUUUACAUGAAUAUGGACAGUCCACUUGAUUAUGAUUAUGUAGAGAGAGAUACUAUCCAUGGGGUGCAUCUAUUUUGAAAAUUACUCUAAACUUAUACAAAAGUCUGAAUAUCCUAGAUUAAUAAAAUUGAAGUACUAUCAUGGGUAAUGGCAGUACGUCGUGUUUAUAAUUUUCAUCUGUUAAAUAUGUUAUUGCAAUAUCCUAUUCCCGAAUUAUUUUUUCAUUUCUUUAACAUAUGCUUCAAAUAGGUAUUCUAAUACCCAACCAUUCUUUAUCCGCCUUCGAUCGCUACUACGUGAUUUGAUACUUAGAAUGUACAUGUUGCAAAAAAAAUAUACAUGUCUACACUCGAUAACCGUUGUUAGUGCUCAUCUCAUCCACGCAUUUCUGAUUUCUCAAGCUUCCUUUACGUUUUUCUUUUCUGAUGUCAAAAGGUCAUUUUAUUACUUAAGCUUGAGGUGGUCUGGGUAACCAGACCGGAAUAAAACAACCAAUAAAAUGUAACUCUCUGCAGAAAGAUCUAGCAGUUUUAGCUAAAAAAUCUGAAAUCUGAUUGCGCGUUCGUGGAACAUGAAUGAUGUUAAAAUCCGGGAAGCAUAUCUGUAACGUCUCUAUGCUUUCCAAUUCCAUCGCAAAUCUUGGCCAGACAUGAGGCUCCUUUAUCAUUGCAGUCAGGUCCUUACAAUCUGUCCCAAAACUCUGGCAUGUUGAAUGUUGAAGCAUGUUCUCAAUUGACAACCGCAGUGCUUCUACUUCUGAAUGCAAUGCUGAUUCGCGUCGAGUGAAGUUUCUUGUCCCCAUAAGUUGAAUGUUUCCGCCACUGUCCAUCCAGACCCAUCCACAUCCACUAAAGUGAGCAGAGGCUGUCCAAGAUCCAUCUAACAAGCAAAUAUUACCCAAGCUUAUGACUUGGGGUUCCUCAGUAUUGUUAUCUUGUACCACUGGUUGUACCACUUCGUUCGCAUCAAACCAGGCUUGACAUUCACUUUCUGCAUGUCGAACUAGCUCCAAAGGAUCUCUGUCUAUCCCCCUCAAAAUUUUGUCAUUCCUAGCCUUCCAAAUAUACCAGAUUAUCCAGGGAUAAGGAUUCAUGUCUUGUUCUGGUUCGAUAAUGUUUUUUUCCUCCAGAAUAGGUAAUCCAUAUUUGUGUGGUCGCUUGGUAGUGGAUAUAUAUAUGGGCUUAUUGGAGUUGAUGAUAAGGACCAAACUUGUAGAGCUGGUGGACAUUCGAAUAUGGCUUGGGUUACAAAUACUUCUAGUUCACCACAUCUUGGGCAGUAGUUAUCAUACCUCAUAUUGCCUCUUGCUAAGUUCCUCGUUACUGCCACAUGACCAGUUAACAAUUGCCAUAUAAGAUGACAUAUCUUUUUAGGCGCCUUUAACUUCCAAGCAAAGGCUUGAAGCUUAGUGAUACUCGGCUCCAAGACCUCCUUCUCCUCCUCUGCCUUUAAUAAAUUAUGAGCCACCCAAUAUUCAGAUUUAACCGUGUAUUGGCCACUCCUUGUAUAGUUCCAGCAGAAUGUAUCACGACGAUGAGUUGAGCUUAUGGCCAAACUCCUAAUAAGCGGUAUGUCAUCAAGAUUGAUAUAGUUCUCCAAUAGACCAACAUCCCAAUCCUUUGAUACUUGAUUAAUGAAAUCGCUAACUCUCGGAUUAGGAUGCAUAACUGGCGCUACAUGGAUAGCUGAUCUCGCAGGGGUCGUUGGGAUUCACGUAUCCUCCCACACCUUGACUUCAUAACCUGAAUGUAUCUUAUGUCUGAUUCUCAGUAAUAACAAUGGACUGCUAGCAGAGUUUACUCUGAGUGGUGAACUCAAUCUAUAAUAUCUUCCCCUCAAGACCCGGGCAACCAAAGAGUCAGAGUGAGGAAACUGAACUAGACUCCAUAACUGUUUUGCCAUUAGCGCCAGAUUGAAUCAUGGAUCAUACGAAAACUAAUAUCUCCCUCCUCUCUUGGUUAUCACAUAUCUUCAAAGGGAGCAGGAAAGUAGACAUAACGUAAGUCGGAAGAGCUGGCAGAAUGGAUUUAAUUAACACUUUCUUCCCUUCUUUUGAGAGCCAUCUACUUGUUUAUCCAUUCACUCUAUGCAUCAACGUAUCCUUGAGAAUUGCAAAAAGUUUGCACUUGGAACCAUUCUUCCUUCGUUUUGUAUUCCAAGUGCAUCUUUAAUCUCUUGUCUAAUAUUUGUAUUAGUCCACUUACUAAAGAGUAAGGACGAUUUAUAAAAGUUGAUACAUUGACCUGA